rnacentral:rRNA from 1 species
ACUCCUACGGGAGGCAGCAGUGGGGAAUAUUGCACAAUGGGCGCAAGCCUGAUGCAGCCAUGCCGCGUGUGUGAAGAAGGCCUUCGGGUUGUAAAGCACUUUCAGUAGGGAGGAAGGUAGUGUAGUUAACACCUGCACUAUUUGACGUUACCUACAGAAGAAGCACCGGCUAACUCCGUGCCAGCAGCCGCGGUAAUACGGAGGGUGCGAGCGUUAUCCGGAAUUAUUGGGCGUAAAGAGCUCGUAGGCGGUUUGUCGCGUCUGUCGUGAAAGUCCGGGGCUUAACCCCGGAUCUGCGGUGGGUACGGGCAGACUAGAGUGCAGUAGGGGAGACUGGAAUUCCUGGUGUAGCGGUGGAAUGCGCAGAUAUCAGGAGGAACACCGAUGGCGAAGGCAGGUCUCUGGGCUGUAACUGACGCUGAGGAGCGAAAGCAUGGGGAGCGAACAGGAUUAGAUACCCUGGUAGGAUAG